ACCUCCUUCUGCUGAGGCUUCUUGUGCUACAAGCAGCUGGGAAGCGAAAGGCCCUGUUUUCCCAGAAUCCCAUGCAGCUGGAGUUCUGAAUGCCUGUUGGAUGCCCUCACGCCAGGCAUGGAAGUUGGGCGUGAAGGAGAAGCGAUUUUCCUGCUGCUGCACCAGUCCUCUGGGGGUUGAAACCUUCUUGGAAGAAUAAUAUAAGCUGGUAUCUGCAGCUAGAUGGACCCCUCAAGCCCUCCCAAGAUUGUCUGCUUUCUUCCUCCUCGAAGUGUACUUCCAGAGCAAUACCAGUCUGCAAACUGUUUAUUACUGGUCUACGACAAUGUAAGUACAGC